UCCUAAAUCAAUGUCAACGAGAAUAGAACGUAUAAUAAAACUCUGUCCAACAAUUACAUAAAAGGAAAACUUCAAUUAAAAUAAAAUAAAAGUGCAGGGGUUUCUUAAGAAAACCUUCAGUAAAAUGAAGAAAUCAAAUGGACCAUCCCACCCAUCAAUCAAUUAGAAUAAAAGGUUACUACUUAUCAAAUUAUCUAUUAUUUGAGUUUAAAAAAUAAUAAUUUUAUGUUAUCUAAAAUAAGUGUAAGUAAUGUUUAUAAUUAUUGCGAAAAAUUAAAAAUAGGAUUUAAUUUAAUAUUGUACGUUGUAAAAAAUCCAUCACAAAACUACAAUUAUAAGUUAUCCGAUUUUGCAACACCACUUCUCCAUAAAUGUAUACUCAAUAAUGGCUGUAAGGCCGUAAGGCUAAAAUAUAUAUCCAGUUAAAUAA